rnacentral:rRNA from 1 species
GAUGAACGCUGGCGGCGUGCCUAAUACAUGCAAGUCGAGCGAACAGAUAAGGAGCUUGCUCCUUUGACGUUAGCGGCGGACGGGUGAGUAACACGUGGAUAACCUACCUAUAAGACUGGGAUAACUUCGGGAAACCGGAGCUAAUACCGGAUAACAUAUUGAACCGCAUGGUUCAAUAGUGAAAGGCGGCUUUGCUGUCACUUAUAGAUGGAUCCGCGCCGUAUUAGCUAGUUGGUAAGGUAACGGCUUACCAAGGCAACGAUACGUAGCCGACCUGAGAGGGUGAUCGGCCACACUGGAACUGAGACACGGUCCAGACUCCUACGGGAGGCAGCAGUAGGGAAUCUUCCGCAAUGGGCGUAAGCCUGACGGAGCAACGCCGCGUGAGUGAUGAAGGUCUUCGGAUCGUAAAACUCUGUUAUCAGGGAAGAACAAAUGUGUAAGUAAAUGUGCACAUCUUGACGGUACCUGAUCAGAAAGCCACGGCUAACUACGUG